rnacentral:tRNA from 1 species
AGCCCUGUGGUGUAAUUGGCAACAUAACGCCCUUUGAAGGCGAAGAUUCCAGGUUCGACCCCUGGUGGGGCUGCCA